rnacentral:lncRNA from 1 species
CCAAGGUUAUCCCAUCUCAUCCACCCCAUGUCCGCUUCCAGCUUCUCCACGAAGCUGGGGCACACGGUCAUGCGACAGCCAAGGGCCAUGGCUGCUGAGCCAGUCCCUGGGCAGGCCCAGCACUGCAGCCUUAACGUCAGCAGAACUGGGCAGGACACCAACCUUAAUGGGAUGUGGAUCCCCAUGUUGGACAUCUCUUCACAGAAGAGAAUGUAGUCUCGGCAGCCGGGGCACUCGAAGUACGCAGUGCCAGCACUCAAGGCCUGUUGCUGCAGGAGAAGCACAAGCAGGGUGAGCGUGAGCAGUGCCUGGUGCUGCUGAGCACCGAGCGUGCCUGCAGGGUGCGGGGUGGGCUCCUACCUGGAUGCAGUCCCGGUGGAACCAGACGUGUUUGCAGGCUGGGCACACCAUGGUGUGGUAGGACAAGCUGUCCCCCACAGGCUCCAAGCAGACGAGGCAGAUGGUGCCUUGUGCUGGAGCUUCCUGAGUGGCCUGUUGAGGGCGGUG